AUCGAACGCUGGCGGCAGGCCUAACACAUGCAAGUCGAGCGAGCGGCGGACGGGUGAGUAAGGUAUGGUGACUGCCCGUUAGAGGGGGAUAACUAGUGGAAACGGCAGCUAAUACCGCAUACUAUCGGCUAACCCACAUGGGGUUAGCUAGUAGGUGAGUUAAUGGCUCACCUAGGCGACGAUCCCUAGCUGGCCUGAGAGGAUGAUCAGCCACACUGGGACUGAGACACGGCCCAGACUCCUACGGAGGCAGCAGUGGGGAAUAUUGCGCAAUGGGCGAAAGCCUGAUGCAGCAAUGCCGCGUGUAUGAAGAAGGCGCUCGGGUUGUAAAGUACUGUCAGUCGGGAGGCGUUACCGACAGAGGAAGCAGCGGCUAACUCCGUGCCAGCAGCCGCGGUAAUUC
rnacentral:rRNA from 1 species